rnacentral:rRNA from 1 species
UCUGCCCUGCACUUCGGGAUAAGCCCGGGAAACUGGGUCUAAUACCGGAUAGUACUGCGCGGUGCAUGCCGUGUGGUGGAAAGAUUUAUCGGUGCAGGAUGGGCCCGCGGCCUAUCAGCUUGUUGGUGGGGUAAUGGCCUACCAAGGCGACGACGGGUAGCCGGCCUGAGAGGGCGACCGGCCACACUGGGACUGAGACACGGCCCAGACUCCUACGGGAGGCAGCAGUGGGGAAUAUUGCACAAUGGGCGCAAGCCUGAUGCAGCGACGCCGCGUGAGGGAUGACGGCCUUCGGGUUGUAAACCUCUUUCAGCAGGGACGAAGCGCAAGUGACGGUACCUGCAGAAGAAGCACCGGCCAACUACGUG